UCUGGGGAUACCAUCUGAAAACCAGGGACAGUUAGCUCUGUGCUAAGAGUGGGAAUAUCCAGCAGUAUAAGCUUCCCAGAGAUUCCUAAAGGUGCUCAGUGGGGAUGACUAUAAAGGGAAAGCUAUGCAAACACCGUGCUAUCCUCCUCCUUGGACUUCAAACAGAAUGGAGUGGGACUUCUCUUUGGUCAGUGUGAGGGUUUUUCUGUACAUCAGCAACUCCAGAAUAGACAAUCCAUCCCUACCGUUGAAUAUUGAAUAUUUCCACUACCAUGUUUGAGAGUGGGCUAUAUGGAUUUUACAAGCAUUUCUCAAAUCUAUUUG